rnacentral:rRNA from 1 species
AGCCUUAAGAUAAUUAUUUAAGGUUAAACCUGCCCAGUGUGAGUUGGUACAUAAACGGCCGCGGUACCUUGACCGUGCUAAGGUAGCGCAAUCAAUUGGUUUUUAAAUGGAGCCAUGUAUGAAUGGAGUUACGGGGUUUUUCUGUCUCCUAGCUAUUAUAUUGAAAUUACUAUAUAGGUGAAAAAGCCUAUAACGAGAAAAAGGACGAGAAGACCCUUAGAGUUUUUCUAAAUUUAAUGAACAUUUGGUUCUUGAAGCAGUUUGGUUGGGGCAACACGGGAGCACAAUUUAAUCUCCCUAUUAAUAUAAAUCGAUUAUUUUAGAAUUGAGUAAACUACCUUAGGGAUAACAGCAUAAUUUUAUAAGUAAGUUUGUGACCUCGAUGUUGGACUGGGAAACUAGAAGGUUAGCCGCCU